GGACAAACUGCACACCUUCUCUUUCUUCUUGUCCAUGGCCUCAUUCCCUUCACAUGCAACAGAUUGCUCAGGUGUCUCCUGCUGAGUGGACCCUUCCGUCUUCAUCUUUUUGGGUGUCAUUGAAUUGACCAAAUUUCUCACCCUUUGCACAUCUACAAUGGUCUGGUGUUGCAUGGUGCAGAAAUGAGCACAGGCAUAUUCCAGCAGAGCACCAAAGAUGAAGGUGAAACAGAUGCCAAGAUAGACGUCGAUAGCCUUAAUGAAGCAGUUGGCGUUGGGAAGCGAGGUCCUGGCACCCAUCAUUAGUGUGGUCAUGGUGCGAGCUGGUACGGAGGACUGACUGAUCCAGAAAGACACCCAUGACAGAACCACCAGCAAUGUUGAGGGCACAUAUGUCUCCAGAAUGAAGAACAGCACAUUUCUACGCAAAGCGAAGUAGAGCACUAGCUUCGGGAUACUUGGUGAGGUCCAUGUUGCAGGCAAUGGUUGCUGUUAUGCUGUGGAGAAAAGGAGGAAUAUUGAUUGAACCAUUUCUGUAGGAAGAUGGAAAGCUGCCGGAGAGGGACAGUGGACUGGCUUUAAUCAUACCCCUGCGGAUUGAUCGGCUCUCCAUGAUUAAAGCGGACUCCUCACCAUCCUCAGGCUCUAAGCCCACACAACAUUGUAAACAGAGGCGCUGGAUUCAAACCGACGGCUAAAUGAAUGUUUGACAGCACAGAGACACACAGUUGACACACAUCCUGAAUGAAUAAUAAAUCAAUAUCAACGUCAUUUAACCACAUGGUGACAAAAGAGCUGAACUGGUCAAUCGGGAUUCAUCAGAGAAUCCACCUUCAAUGAGGAGAGAUGGAGUCUGAGGGAAAUGCCACAGAGAACAGCGAACACGGAGCCUCAGCUGGCCUAGAUUAUAUCUUGAAGCAGUUGGAUUUAAUGUCAGAAUUUAUGGACCAUUUGCAAGUGAAGACCCAGCUGCUGCAGUGUAACCUGACCGUGUGCUUCACACACCCUGAAAAAAUGGCGUGCCUCCAGACUGACGUGGAAACCCCAAUGUGGUUAAGCCGUGAACAGACGAUGGAAGACUAAAUAUGUAACUCACAGAAGUACACUUGUAAGGUGGAGUUUACUAUAAUACACUUAAAAAGUACAAUUUAAUAGGCCACAUUAAGACAAAACACUAAAAUCAUUAGGAAUAUUUAAGUUAAAAAAGACAAAUGUAGAGCCUAAGAGUUGAUAAGUAGCCUCUAGCUAACAUUGAGUGUAAGAAUACCUCUUGAUUUUAACAUUGAAAGUGUUUAAAAAUGUAUCUUUAAUUUAAAAAGUGUAGACAGUCCUGUUUGAUUGAAUCAAACUAAAUAUGAUUUAUCAAUUUA